rnacentral:rRNA from 1 species
UAGGGAAUCUUCCACAAUGGACGCAAGUCUGAUGGAGCAACGCCGCGUGAGUGAAGAAGGUCUUCGGAUCGUAAAACUCUGUUGUUAGAGGAGAACACGAGUGAGAGUAACUGUUCAUUCGAUGACGGUAUCUAACCAGCAAGUCACGGCUAACUACGUGCCAG